rnacentral:rRNA from 1 species
GGGGGGUGCGAGCGUUGUCCGGAAUCACUGGGCGUAAAGGGCGCGUAGGUGGUUUGAUAAGGGUGUGRUGAAAGUCCGGGGCUCAACCCCGGAUCUGCCGUGCCGACUGUCAAACUCGAGGACUGUAGAGGCAGACGGAAUUCCGGGUGUAGCGGUGGAAUGCGUAGAGAUCCGGAGGAAGACCGGUGGCGAAGGCGGUCUGCUGGGCAGUUUCUGACACUGAGGCGCGACAGCGUGGGGAGCAAACAGGAUUAGAUACCCUGGUAGUCCACGCCGUAAACGAUGGGUACUAGGUGCCUGGGGGAGCGACCCUCUGGGUGCCGGCGCUAACGCAGGAAGUACCCCGCCUGGGGAGUACGACCGCAAG